GGACCCGCACAAGCAGCGGAGCGUGUGGUUUAAUUCGAUGCUACACGAAGAACCUCACCCAGGUUUGACAUACAGGUGGUAGUGAAGCGAAAGCGGAACGACCCGCAAGGGAGCCUGAACAGGUGUUGCAUGGCUGUCGUCAGCUCGUGUCGUGAGAUGUUGGUUUAAGUACCCUAACGAGCGCAACCCUCGUUGCCAGUUACAAGUGUCUGGCGAUACUGCCGGCCGCAAGCCGGAGGAAGGCGGGGAUGACGUCAAGUCAGCAUGGCCUUUAUAUCUGGGGCUACACACACGCUACAAUGGAUCGCAACAAUGGGUAGCCAAACCGCGAGGCGGAGCCAAUCCCAUAAAACGGUCCUCAGUUCAGAUUGCAGGCUGCAACCCGCCUGCAUGAAGUCGGAGUUGCUAGUAAACGCGCGUCAGCUAUAGUGCGUUGAAUACGUUCCCGGGUCUUGUACACACCGCCCGUCACACUAUGGGAGCUGGCAACACCUGAAGCCAGUAGCGUAACCGCAAGGAGCGCGCUGUCAAAGGUGGGGCUGGUGACUGGAGUGAAGUCGUAACAAGGUAGCUGUACGGGAACGUGCGGCU
rnacentral:rRNA from 1 species